CUCGAGGCCAGAUCUUUCCGGUUGAUCCUGCCGGACCUGACUGCUAUCGGAUUGAUACUAAGCCAUGCGAGUCUUUGUAGCAAUACAAGGCAGACGGCUCAGUAACACGUAGUCAAUCUACCCUAUGGACGGGGAUAACCUCGGGAAACUGAGAAUAAUACCCGAUAGAUCAUUAUGCCUGGAAUGGUUUAUGGUCGAAAUGAUUUAUCGCCGUAGGAUGGGACUGCGGUCUAUCAGCUUGUUGGUGAGGUAAUGGCCCACCAAGGCUAUAACAGAUACGGGCUCUGAGAGGAGAAGCCCGGAGAUGGGUACUGAGACACGGACCCAGGCCCUAUGGGGCGCAGCAGGCGAGAAAACUUUGCAAUGUGCGAAAGCACGACAAGGUUAAUCCGAGUGUUUUCUGCUAAAGAAAUCCUUUGUCAGUCCUAAAAACACUGAUGAAUAAGGGGUGGCAAGUUCUGGUGUCAGCCGCCGCGGUAAAACCAGCACCUCAAGUGGUCAGGAGGAUUAUUGGGCCUAAAGCAUCCGUAGCCGGCCGUGUAAGUUUUCGGCUAAA
rnacentral:rRNA from 1 species